CCUGGAGCCCAGGCCGGGAACCGAGCGAGGCGCCGGGAGCCGGCCGGCAGCGACUGUGCAGGUGGAAAGCCCAAGGAGUUAGGAGUCCCAGGCCUGUGCUUGCUGUGUGACUUCAGGGCGCCUUGUGAACUGGCUACUUCGUUUGAUGCAGACCUGUUCCCUGCGGCUUAGAGACUGACUACCAGGCUGUCUUUCUUAAGGUAAGAACUUUGCUAUUACAGACACCCCUGGGGCUUCAGUUAGAAGCUCUGGCUUAGCCUGCUGGGCAUCCAUACAAACUCUUGCAUGUCUUGGAACUCUGCGUUCUCCGGUUUGCCAGUUUUCUGCCCGAUUCUAACUUGCUUCUGUUUACUGUUCUGUGGUUCUGGGACUUGGAAUACUAGUUUGGGCUUGCUCUAUUUUUGUUCAGAACAGGAGGAAGUCUGCAAGCCCAGGGACUGCUUGGUGGAUUAAAGACAUCUCUGGUAUUGCAGAAGUCACGUAUUUGAUUAAUUAAAAGAGAACUAACCUAAGGUGACCUUCAUAGAUCAUGGAAUCUAUGUGGGGUGAGGAGUGGUACUUGCAAUGGUCCUAUCAAGGGAAAUAGACUCUGAAUAAACUCAGUGUGUAUGAAUACUAAUUAUUGAAUGCUCAGAAUUCUCAGAUUUUUAAAUGGUAAGGUUUAGGAAUGACCCAAAACAGGACCAAAGUGUUGUUCCAACGAAGAAUCGAUGAGCAUAAAUAUAAGCACAUUUCAAGCUCUACAUUUAUUCAUAAUGUCUUUCACUUGAUUUUGGUCUUCAGUGUGGUGUUUAACACAGAGGCUGUCCAGAUUAGGUUGCUAGCCCCGACCUCCAUUUUGCCAGGUGAAGAGAUCAAAGCAGAGGCUGGUUUGCAAAGCAGAGCCCGAGGUCAGGCUGCAACUGCCAUGCAAUGCCUUUUGUGGCUAUGCAGGCUACUUCUAUUCUGCCUAGUGGUCCCUCCCUGGCUGUUAGGAAUGCCAACCCCUAACCCCGAGGGCUCUGACUGGCAAACAGACCUCCUACCUUGUGUUUGAAGGAGGAAAGAAGGAAGGCAAGCACCUAGAGGAAGUUGUCUGAGAUCCUGAGGUGAUUGGGCCUGGGCCAUGUUUACAUUUCUUUUCUUGUCCAGAGAGCAGAUUGAACUAUUAGCAUCAGUGUUUGUUAAUGGUAAUUACACGUUUCAAGUACAAAGCAGGAUUCUGUAAAAUGUCUGGUAGGAUGCCUUUCUCUUUGCCUUUGUGAAUAAAUGACAUUAUGCUGCUCUAAUUAGGCUCAGGAAGACUAGAGAGUAUCUGUGUGCUAUCAUCAGUUUUCCC
ensembl:lncRNA